GCCCGGGUAGCUCAGUUGGUAGAGCAUGUGACUCUUAAUCACAGUGUCGAGGGUUCGAGUCCCUUCUUGGGCC